AAUUCUUCACAAGGAAUGUGACCAUUAUGUAUUGCAAACAUGUACCCACAGAAAAUUAAAAUUGGGGGGGGGGAAUAAAAGAAUUGAUACCUCAGGUGUUACUAUAGUGAAAAAACAUUUUGUAAGUGAUUUUUACCUCAAGCCUUUUGUAGGAGGAAAAAUGGUGACACAUGUUCUAAAAAAAUUAUUUUUCAGAAGAACUUCCAUGGUUUCUGAGUAUAUAUGGGCUGAGGCUUGUCUGGGUAGAGCUGGGAAGAACUGUUAGGAAGAACAUUGUAAAGUCUAAGGUAGGUUCCAUUAGGGUCAUGGCUCUGAAAAAAUGGUAGUACAUGGAUUCUAGACAUAUUUUGUAUGUGACCUCAGCAGAACUUGGUAAUAAAGAUUGGAUAUGGUGGAGGGAGAAGCAGUUGUCAAGUGUGAUUCUUGGGUGCCUAAGUGAACAACUGAUUAUAUGAAGCUAUUACAUUUACUGAUAUAGGGAAGAUGCAGAGGUGGCAGAUUUCAGAGUUCAAUGAGAGCAGGAGGAGUGUUAUUGGUAAAGAACAAACUCAGUGUAUUUGCUAUCUGUUGCAUUUAAGGUAUGGGAAAUGUAGAAGUAGAGGUGUCAUGCAGCAGUUGGAUAUACUACGAUAGUAUUGUAGAUAGGUAAGUUAAUUAGCUAUCUUUUUGGCAGCUAGACAGGGCCUCCCUUAAGGCCCCAGCACUCCAGGAGCCAACACAGCAAGGGACCAACAUGGAGAACAAUUGAGGCACAUUCAAUGAUACGUUAUGGUGAUGUUUGAAGGAUGGACUUGAACGGCAGGAAAAAGGUGUGCCAAAUUGCAAGUAAGACAUUGUAUAUGAAUGAAUGCCUUGGCUUUCCUGACUAGGUGGCUUAAGAACAAGGUAUUUAUUUUUUCACAGUACUGGAGUUAGAGCUUCAACAAAUGACUUUGGGGGCAGAAAUAAGACACAAUUUUCCCCAUACCAAGGACUGUAAAUAUUUUGGGCUACUUAAGAUGAGUAUGCUGGCUUGGGUUUGUGAGUACUUGAUACUUCACCCUUAUUCCUUGAUGCUCUACUCUGGACAUUCAGAUUCCACGGGGAUUGAACCCAUGACCUGACAGUGUACCACUGAGCUACACCCCCAGCACUUCACUGGAGUUUUUAUGGCCCACACAUCUAGCUGCCUCCUUGACGUUUCCAUUUGGAUAUUCCAAGGUACCUCAAACCCAAUUUAUGUCCCACACUGAGGAUCUUCCCUCAUUCCACUCUCUACACCUGUAUGGUAUUUGCCAUCUUAGUGAAAACUCUAUGCAUAUUUUUAAUCUAAGUCAGAAACCUAGAACUAUUCAUGAUGUCUCCUGAACCCCUUGUUUUCAAUCCAAUUUUGAAUUUCUGUGGGUUUUCUCACCAGAACCAGUUGAUGUCUCACCACAGCCUAGUCCAUGCUACAGCAUCUCUCCCUUGCCUUUCAACUAGUCACCUGUGUCCCUGUGCCCAAGCUUGAUGUAGUUGACCUCUGGCAUCUCCUUUGGCAGAUUUUCCUUUCUUUUUCAGAGAAACAAGAAAAUUCCUUUUAAAAAGGAAUUGCUCCUGUGGAAGGUCCCAAGUUGGAUUCCUGGUACAAGAAAAAAAAAAGAAAAAGGAAUUGCUCUAGCCCCUACCCUUCCGGUUCCACAUCACUCUGCCUCUGCCCUGGCUACCACUGACCCCAUGUUACCCCUUGCUGGGUGCCAGGCUCCCUGUUGGCAAAGCCAUGAAUCAACACAGGAAACGACAUGAAGUCUUCCAACGACAUUCCUCUCAGCUUUGCUACAGCACAGCUGUCCGGGUUGGGUGUGCACGCAGAUGCCAGCACCUCUCACACGGUGGACGUGGUGAACCCGUGUCCAGCCCUAUCAACGAGGCCAGGUCCAAGGUGUUUGCCCACAGUCCUGGUGAUGUCCCAGGCCUGACCCCCAUGGAGCGGUGGGGCGGUGCGGCAGCCUCCCGCCACCAGGAGUCGCCCUUGCCUGCAGCGGC
rnacentral:lncRNA from 1 species